UUACGGCCACAUCACCUUGAAACACCGGUCACCAUACGAUCACCAAAAACUAAGCAACGUUGAGCCUGGUCAGUACCUAGAUGGGUAACCGUUUGGGAAUACCACGUGAUGUAA